UACGUAGGUCCCGAGCGUUGUCCGGAUUUAUUGGGCGUAAAGCGAGCGCAGGUGGUCUAUUGAGUCUGGUGUAAAAGGCAGUGGCUCAACCAUUGUAUGCAUUGGAAACUGGUAGACUUGAGUGCAGGAGAGGAGAGUGGAAUUCCAUGUGUAGCGGUGAAAUGCGUAGAUAUAUGGAGGAACACCGGUGGCGAAAGCGGCUCUCUGGCCUGUAACUGACACUGAGGCUCGAAAGCGUGGGGAGCAAACAGG
rnacentral:rRNA from 1 species